rnacentral:rRNA from 1 species
UACCAGCACCCCGAGUGGUCGGGACGAUUAUUGGGCCUAAAGCAUCCGUAGCCGGUUUUACAAGUCCUCCGUUAAAUCCAGCUGCUUAACAGAUGGGCUGCGGAGGAUACUAUAAGACUAGGAGGCAGGAGAGGCAAGCGGUACUCAGUGGGUAGGGGUAAAAUCCGUUGAUCCAUUGAAGACCACCAGUGGCGAAGGCGGCUUGCCAGAAUGCGCUCGACGGUGAGGGAUGAAAGCUGGGGGAGCAAACCGGA